rnacentral:rRNA from 1 species
GACGAACGCUGGCGGCGUGCUUAACACAUGCAAGUCGAACGGUAAGGCCCUGGUUUUGUCUGCUGGUCGAGUGGCGAACGGGUGAGUAACACGUGAGCAACCUGCCCUUGACUGUGGGAUAACUUCUGGAAACUGGGGCUAAUACCGGAUAGGAGCUCCGGAUGCAUCUUGGGGAUUUGAAAAGUACGGCGGUUAGGGAUGGACUCGCGGCUUAUCAGCUUGUUGGUGAGGUAGUGGCUCACCAAGGCUUCGACGGGUACCCGGCCUGAGAGGGUGACCGGCCACAAUGGGACUGAGACACGGCCCAGACUCCUACGGGAGGCAGCAGGGGGGAAUAUUGCACAAUGGGCGAAAGCCUGAUGCAGCAACGCCGCGUGCGGGAGGACGGCCUUCGGGUUGUAAACCGCUUUCGCCAGUGAUGAAGCGAGAGUGACGGUAAUGGGAGAAAAAGCGCCGGCUAACUACGUG